rnacentral:rRNA from 1 species
GGGUUGUGAGGUUAAGCGACUAAGCGUACACGGUGGAUGCCCUGGCAGUCAGAGGCGAUGAAGGACGUGCUAAUCUGCGAUAAGCGUCGGUAAGGUGAUAUGAACCGUUAUAACCGGCGAUUUCCGAAUGGGGAAACCCAGUGUGUUUCGACACACUAUCAUUAACUGAAUCCAUAGGUUAAUGAGGCGAACCGGGGGAACUGAAACAUCUAAGUACCCCGAGGAAAAGAAAUCAACCGAGAUUCCCCCAGUAGCGGCGAGCGAACGGGGAGGAGCCCAGAGCCUGAAUCAGUAUGUGUGUUAGUGGAAGCGUCUGGAAAGGCGCGCGAUACAGGGUGACAGCCCCGUACACAAAAAUGCACAUGCUGUGAGCUCGAUGAGUAGGGCGGGACACGUGGUAUCCUGUCUGAAUAUGGGGGGACCAUCCUCCAAGGCUAAAUACUCCUGACUGACCGAUAGUGAACCAGUACCGUGAGGGAAAGGCGAAAAGAACCCCGGCGAGGGGAGUGAAAAAGAACCUGAAACCGUGUACGUACAAGCAGUGGGAGCACGCUUAGGCGUGUGACUGCGUACCUUUUGUAUAAUGGGUCAGCGACUUAUAUUCUGUAGCAAGGUUAACCGAAUAGGGGAGCCGAAGGGAAACCGAGUCUUAACUGGGCGUUAAGUUGCAGGGUAUAGACCCGAAACCCGGUGAUCUAGCCAUGGGCAGGUUGAAGGUUGGGUAACACUAACUGGAGGACCGAACCGACUAAUGUUGAAAAAUUAGCGGAUGACUUGUGGCUGGGGGUGAAAGGCCAAUCAAACCGGGAGAUAGCUGGUUCUCCCCGAAAGCUAUUUAGGUAGCGCCUCGUGAAUUCAUCUCCGGGGGUAGAGCACUGUUUCGGCAAGGGGGUCAUCCCGACUUACCAACCCGAUGCAAACUGCGAAUACCGGAGAAUGUUAUCACGGGAGACACACGGCGGGUGCUAACGUCCGUCGUGAAGAGGGAAACAACCCAGACCGCCAGCUAAGGUCCCAAAGUCAUGGUUAAGUGGGAAACGAUGUGGGAAGGCCCAGACAGCCAGGAUGUUGGCUUAGAAGCAGCCAUCAUUUAAAGAAAGCGUAAUAGCUCACUGGUCGAGUCGGCCUGCGCGGAAGAUGUAACGGGGCUAAACCAUGCACCGAAGCUGCGGCAGCGACGCUUAUGCGUUGUUGGGUAGGGGAGCGUUCUGUAAGCCUGUGAAGGUGUGCUGUGAGGCAUGCUGGAGGUAUCAGAAGUGCGAAUGCUGACAUAAGUAACGAUAAAGCGGGUGAAAAGCCCGCUCGCCGGAAGACCAAGGGUUCCUGUCCAACGUUAAUCGGGGCAGGGUGAGUCGACCCCUAAGGCGAGGCCGAAAGGCGUAGUCGAUGGGAAACAGGUUAAUAUUCCUGUACUUGGUGUUACUGCGAAGGGGGGACGGAGAAGGCUAUGUUGGCCGGGCGACGGUUGUCCCGGUUUAAGCGUGUAGGCUGGUUUUCCAGGCAAAUCCGGAAAAUCAAGGCUGAGGCGUGAUGACGAGGCACUACGGUGCUGAAGCAACAAAUGCCCUGCUUCCAGGAAAAGCCUCUAAGCAUCAGGUAACAUCAAAUCGUACCCCAAACCGACACAGGUGGUCAGGUAGAGAAUACCAAGGCGCUUGAGAGAACUCGGGUGAAGGAACUAGGCAAAAUGGUGCCGUAACUUCGGGAGAAGGCACGCUGAUAUGUAGGUGAAGCGACUUGCUCGUGGAGCUGAAAUCAGUCGAAGAUACCAGCUGGCUGCAACUGUUUAUUAAAAACACAGCACUGUGCAAACACGAAAGUGGACGUAUACGGUGUGACGCCUGCCCGGUGCCGGAAGGUUAAUUGAUGGGGUCAGCGCAAGCGAAGCUCUUGAUCGAAGCCCCGGUAAACGGCGGCCGUAACUAUAACGGUCCUAAGGUAGCGAAAUUCCUUGUCGGGUAAGUUCCGACCUGCACGAAUGGCGUAAUGAUGGCCAGGCUGUCUCCACCCGAGACUCAGUGAAAUUGAACUCGCUGUGAAGAUGCAGUGUACCCGCGGCAAGACGGAAAGACCCCGUGAACCUUUACUAUAGCUUGACACUGAACAUUGAGCCUUGAUGUGUAGGAUAGGUGGGAGGCUUUGAAGUGUGGACGCCAGUCUGCAUGGAGCCGACCUUGAAAUACCACCCUUUAAUGUUUGAUGUUCUAACGUUGACCCGUAAUCCGGGUUGCGGACAGUGUCUGGUGGGUAGUUUGACUGGGGCGGUCUCCUCCUAAAGAGUAACGGAGGAGCACGAAGGUUGGCUAAUCCUGGUCGGACAUCAGGAGGUUAGUGCAAUGGCAUAAGCCAGCUUGACUGCGAGCGUGACGGCGCGAGCAGGUGCGAAAGCAGGUCAUAGUGAUCCGGUGGUUCUGAAUGGAAGGGCCAUCGCUCAACGGAUAAAAGGUACUCCGGGGAUAACAGGCUGAUACCGCCCAAGAGUUCAUAUCGACGGCGGUGUUUGGCACCUCGAUGUCGGCUCAUCACAUCCUGGGGCUGAAGUAGGUCCCAAGGGUAUGGCUGUUCGCCAUUUAAAGUGGUACGCGAGCUGGGUUUAGAACGUCGUGAGACAGUUCGGUCCCUAUCUGCCGUGGGCGCUGGAGAACUGAGGGGGGCUGCUCCUAGUACGAGAGGACCGGAGUGGACGCAUCACUGGUGUUCGGGUUGUCAUGCCAAUGGCACUGCCCGGUAGCUAAAUGCGGAAGAGAUAAGUGCUGAAAGCAUCUAAGCACGAAACUUGCCCCGAGAUGAGUUCUCCCUGACUCCUUGAGAGUCCUGAAGGAACGUUGAAGACGACGACGUUGAUAGGCCGGGUGUGUAAGCGCAGCGAUGCGUUGAGCUAACCGGUACUAAUGAACCGUGAGGCUUAACCUUACAACGCCGAAGGUGUUU